UACGACUCACGUGCAGCUCGGACAGUACCACUGGCCUUCCGUCCGUACCGUGGUUCCGGAAAUUAUUCCCUGGAUCUAACCUCGUCACAAAAAGCCAUGAGUCCCGUUAAUAAAUUAACGUACUUCACCUUGCAGUUGUUUUUGUCCGACCUGCCUCCGGUCUUUCUUACGUUUGCUGAUCGCUACAGAUGCCGCUCUGACUGGAACAACUUGUAGUCCAACUCUUCUGGAGCUGUGAGCCCAGCCUUGCCGCGGUAAUCUUGUGACAAAAUAUUUGCCGGCGCUAGCAUGACCGGCGGACCUGUGCAAACUGGACAUCUAGAGGAAGUAAGGACGGGAUCGGAGGGAGAUAGUUAGUUAUCCGGCUGAGUAUGAACCAUUUUUGCUGUGAAAGGCUUACCUUGCUGCUUCUACUGCUGCUAAUUGAGCGACAAUCGGAGACGGAUAGAUUUUAGAGUACAAGCACAUCAGACAAUGGGCUACCAGCAGUACGGGCAGGAGAA